rnacentral:rRNA from 1 species
AUUGAACGCUGGCGGCAGGCCUAACCCAUGCAAGUCGAGCGAGCGGCGGACGGGUGAGUAAUGUCUGGGAAACUGCCUGAUGGAGGGGGAUAACUACUGGAAACGGUAGCUCAUACCGCAUACCAUCAGAUGUGCCCAGGUGGGAUUCGCUAGUCGGUGGGGUAACGGCUCACCUAGGCGACGAUCCCUAGCUGGUCUGAGAGGAUGACCAGCCAGACGGGAACUGAGACACGGUCCAGACUCCUACGGGAGGCAGCAGUGGGGAAUAUUGCCCAAUGGGCGCAAGCCUGAUGCAGACAUGCCGCGUGUGUGAAGAAGGCCGUCGGGUUGUAAAGCACUUUCAGCGGGGAGGCGUUACCCGCAGAAGAAGCACCGGCUAACUCCGUGCCAGCAGCCGCGGUAAUUC